AACAAAUGCUAAAGACAAAUGUG
rnacentral:siRNA from 1 species